rnacentral:rRNA from 1 species
UAGGGAAUUUUGCGCAAUGGGCGAAAGCCUGACGCAGCAACGCCGCGUGUGUGAUGAAGCCCUUCGGGGUGUAAAACACUGUCAGUGGGGACGAAACUUGACGGUACCCACAGAGGAAGCACCGGCUAACUCCGUGCCAGCAGCCGCGGUAAUACGGAGGGUGCAAGCGUUGUCCGGAAUCAUUGGGCGUAAAGCGUUCGUAGGCGGCAUACCAAGUCUGGUGUUAAAGCCCGAGGCUCAACCUCGGUUCGGCACUGGAUACUGGUAAGCUAGAAUACGGUAGAGGUGAAGGGAAUUCCUGGUGUAGCGGUGAAAUGCGUAGAUAUCAGGAGGAACAUCGGUGGCGAAAGCGCUUCACUGGGCCGUUAUUGACGCUGAGGAGCGAAAGCCGGGGGAGCAAAUG